UGGGGAAUUUUGGACAAUGGGGGCAACCCUGAUCCAGCAAUGCCGCGUGAGUGAAGAAGGCCUUCGGGUUGUAAAGCUCUUUUGUCAGGGAAGAAACGGUAGUAGCGAAUAACUAUUACUAAUGACGGUACCUGAAGAAUAAGCACCGGCUAACUACGUGCCAGCAGCCGCGGUAAUACGUAGGGUGCGAGCGUUAAUCGGAAUUACUGGGCGUAAAGCGUGCGCAGGCGGUUCGCCAAGUCAGGUGUGAAAUCCCCGGGCUUAACCUGGGAACUGCAUUUGUGACUGCCAGACUAGAGUGUAGCAGAGGGGGGUAGAAUUCCACGUGUAGCAGUGAAAUGCGUAGAUAUGUGGAGGAAUACCGAUGGCGAAGGCAGCCCCCUGGGCUAACACUGACGCUCAUGCACGAAAGCGUGGGGAGCAAACAGGAUUAGAUACCCACGUAGUCCCUGAGCGGGCUGGCAAGGCGCAU
rnacentral:rRNA from 1 species